UACGAAGGGUGCAAGCGUUGUUCGGAUUUAUUGGGCGUAAAGCGCGCGCAGGCGGAUUUGUAAGUCAGAUGUGAAAUCUCGGGGCUCAACCUCGAAAUUGCGUCUGAAACUGCGAGUCUAGAAUACUGGAGAGGGAAGGGGAAUUUCUCAUGUAGGGGUAAAAUCCGUAGAGAUGAGAAGGAACACCAGAGGCGAAGGCGCCUUCCUAGACAGUCAUUGACGCUGAGGCGCGAAAGCGUGGGGAGCAAACAGG
rnacentral:rRNA from 1 species